AGCAGCAGCAUAGCACAGUAGUAGUGCCCAAGUAGUAUGAACUGCAGCCGGCUUUUACUCGACUCACGCUCGUACCGGCUCGAUAGUGCCAGCAUAAUAUUGUCGUCUACGAGGCGUCAUUGCUAUUACUACUACUGAUAUUAGGGGGGGCUAACGCCACCGCCGCCGCUGACUCCUCCACCUCCACGCGCCGUUCGUCGUGUUUUCGACGCUGUUCGUUGCACGCGCCUGCCUCUCUCUCUCUAUAAGAGAAUAGAUAUCGCUUUACAAAAUAGCUAUAUAUAGUUGUGACGAGCGAGUGAACUAAACAACACACAUAUUAUAUCUUAUAAAAUAAAGCGGACGUAACGUAAUCAGUGAAGUAUAUACGGUGACUCCGAACGCGAACUCCAUUGUGCCUCGCGAGCUCCGAAAAAGAGACGUCGUACAGUGUCGUGUGUAGUAUCGUCGUACCCGCGCAUACACACACACACAUAUACAUUCGUAUAUAUCAUCAUAUAUAUAAUCCGUUUUGUGGCCGCCGUCUGUGCGUCUGUGCGUGACAAAGGGCGCGCGCGAAUACAUACAUACGCACGCACACAAGAGAGACUUGGUCAGUGCUCAUAUAUUCACCGACACACGUACUGGAAUUAUACAUAUAUACGGAGCGCGCCCAUAUACGCACACAAGGAGCAGAGCUCCAUAUAAGCAUCAGCAGCAGUCUUGACUCACGCAAACUACUUACGUUACUACUACUAUCCGCGCGCUCUUCGUCGUGCGUGCGCGUUGUUAUUCCGCGGCAGUCUCUCUCUCUCGCUCUGUCGAGUGCGCGCGUGAGUAGUGUUCAGUCUUCGCCCGCCGCGGACAAGAAGAGGAAGUGUGUUGUGUGCCCCGCUGCUGCACGCGUAUAUGUGUGUCUGUGCUUCUCGUCGUCGUCGUGUGUUGUGCGCGCAGCGGACUCUCAACAAACUCAAGCCGGCUUUUUACAUAUAAAUACUGCACGCGCCUACACUGAAGAUCGGAUAGGUCGCCCGAUCAAUAAAUAAACGUGUGCACGCAGUGGAGACGCUUUUCAAAAGACGUUCACAGCCUGCCCUUUGAUAUACUAUACAAGAAUCUGCCGCGCGAGUAGCUGCAUAAAGCUACGAGGAAAAACGAAUUCAGCGAAGUGCCCUUGACAAAAGGAAGAAACUGCGCGUAGCGCACCUCGUACAUUUUCAAUUGUCAAUUCGAACGCGAGGUACACGUCUCGCAACAGCAUCAACAUGUCGACGGAAAACAGCACCACGGCCCAACUGAACGGCACGUCGGCGUCAGCGGCCUCGUCGAACACGAACGGUCUGAAGGCGCCGACGCUGUCGAGUUUCAGCAGCAGCGCCUCGUCGACUCGCACCACCACGAACUCGUCGUUCCUCUACAGCGGCAACUCGCUGCUGGGCUCGGCCGCCACGGCCGGCAUCGGCGCGUCCUCGCGAACGGAAAAGAUCACCGCGAGACAGGCGCCGCCGCCCACGCUGCCCAAGUACACCUCGAGCUUCAAUGCGGGCAGCAACGGCACGGGCUCGGCGAUCGAUCGCCUGGCCAAGGAACGCGAGGCCGGCGCCGGUAGUUACAGACUGAGCAGCCUCGACAGGCUCGCCAUGAGGCAGAGGAACUUCGACGGGGACGCCUCAAAGACCAACGGGGAUGCUAAUUCGCUCCAGACGAAGCGCGACCUGUUCUUCAAAGGCGAGAGCACAUCGCCGUCGUCGGGCGCGCCCACGGUGCCUUCGGUGCCGCCGCCCCAGCCGCCUACAGCCACGCCGGCCUCGACGACCAACAACUCGGCCGCGACGGCGCCCCCACCGCCAUCGGGCCCGGCCAAAACUCGCCUGACCUCGGUGCAGGCCCUGAACAACAGCCAGGUCGAUGGCUACGAGGACAGCAACAAGCGCGAGGCCGCCCGCGAGGCUGCCGCCCGAGAGGCCGCCGCGACGGCCGCGGCCAACAACACUGCCACGGUGGUGGCGGCCUCGCCCCGGCCCGCCAUACCGGCCAAACCCAAAGAGCUCGACGGCUACGUGGGCUUCGCGAAUCUGCCCAAUCAGGUCUACAGAAAAGCCGUGAAAAGAGGAUUCGACUUUACGCUCAUGGUUGUUGGUGAAUCGGGUCUAGGAAAAUCAACGCUGAUCAAUUCACUCUUCCUCACGGACAUCUACAGCGCCGAGCAUCCAGGCCCAAGUCUGAGAAUAAAGAAAACCGUGGCCGUCGAGACGAGCAAGGUACUGCUCAAAGAAAAUGGUGUCAAUCUCACUCUCACGAUCGUCGACACGCCCGGCUUCGGCGACGCCGUGGACAAUAGCAAUUGCUGGCAUCCGGUAAUUGAUUACAUUGAAAACAAAUAUGAAGAGUUUUUGAACGCCGAGUCUCGAGUGGUACGUCGUCAAAUCCCGGACAGUCGAGUUCACUGCUGCUUAUAUUUCGUCGCACCCUCUGGCCAUGGUCUGAAACCCCUCGAUGUUGAAUUCAUGCAGCGACUUCACGACAAAGUCAACAUCAUACCAGUCAUUGCCAAGGCUGACACCAUGACACCUGACGAGUGUGCUUACUUUAAAAAACAGAUCUUAAACGAAAUAGCACAGCACAAAAUAAAGAUCUACGAAUUCCCAGAAACCGAAGUAGAGGAAGAAGAUAGCAACAAAGUAAACAAACACCUUCGAGAUAGAGUACCUUUUGCAAUCGUCGGUGCUAACACAGUCAUUGAACAUGACGGAAAGAAAGUGCGUGGUAGAAAAUAUCCUUGGGGAGUGGUCGAAGUUGAAAAUUUGGAGCACAACGACUUCAUUGCUUUACGGGAUAUGAUUGUUCGUACACACUUGCAAGAUUUGAAGGAUGUUACAAACAAUGUUCACUAUGAAAAUUACAGAUGUCGCACAUUAGCGGGUCUUAGUGUUGAUGGCAAACCUUCAAGAGGAUCUAACAAGAACCCGCUUGCUCAGUUGGAAGAAGAAAAACGAGAACACGAAAACAAAAUGAAAAAAAUGGAAAUAGACAUGGAGCAAGUGUUUGAGAUGAAAGUUCGCGAAAAGAAGCAGAAGCUUAAAGAUUUAGAAUCAGAUCUGCAACGAAGGCACGAGCAAAUGCGUCGUUCUUUGGAUCAGCAAGCAAAAGAACUCGAAGAAAAAAGACGAGCAUUUGAAUCUGAAAGGCAUGCAUGGGAACAACAGACUGGUCAUAGCAUUGAAGAAUUACGACGCAGAAGCCUUGAAGCUACUUCAAAAGAAAAACAAGAUGGUCUUUCUUCAAGAAAUGGUCAUAUUGCCAGGAAACUAAGUUUUGUUUAAUUCAUUGUACAUUUAGAAAUACAUUUUAAAAAAUGAAAUUUAAAGUUUAAAAAAUUGUUAUCAAUAACAAAAUUUCUACACUAUCGACUGUACACUAUUUCUCUGAUAAUUAAUGUUAUGUGCUGCCCCCUCAGGUGAACGGUGGAUGGCAAGAAGAGUAAGAAGAAGGGUCUCUUUUAAAUCGUCGAAAGACAGCAUAAUACUUUUUCCAAAGAUCCUUUGACUUCGGACAUCAAGGUCAUACACCUUGAAGUAAAUGAACUAAGAUCAUAACUUUUUUGUAUUUAUGUAUAGAAAAAAAGCCUUCAAUUUUUUAUUAUAAAUUUAUGUUCAUAUACAGUAAUCAUAAAGCUUUUAGGCUCUUUUGAGUGCAGCUCUGUUCCAAUUAUAAUUAAAUGUAAUGUUAAGUUUAAUAAAAAUUAGUUAACGUUGAAUUGAACAUCACAGUUAAAGGACUUUGAUAUAAAUACAUGUAAUCGAUCGAGAUCUUACGCGAGUAUAAUUUUUAUAAUGUGUUUCCCGUCGUAAGAAAGGCUUCAACUUUUUCUAUACAAAAAUCAAAAUUUUAAAUUUUCUCCUACGAUAGUUCGACGCUUUUGUCGAUUAUAAAAAUUAUAUUUUUUAAAUAUAUACGUAACGAAUGACAUUAUAAUAGAGAUCAAAUCAAUUUAUGAACUCUUUUGUAUUUAUCUACUGCAUCAUCUUUGUUCAUAAAGCUUUUAGCUAUGACAUGUCAAUUUGUGCAUUGUUUAGGUAUAUCAAAUAAUUAUUUUAACAAUUUACUUUAGUUACCAUUAUACAAUCAGUGCCAUUAUUUGAUUCAUUUAAUAUGAUGUCAUUUUUGUAAAAUCAUGCUUUGUGCCAAAAUAUGUAAAAUAUGAGUGUUUUGAUAUCGAUACUGAAUGUAAUGAUUAAUUUAGUCAAACAGCUAUAAUUUUUGUCUGCAAAAAAUUUCAUCAAGAUUUAACAUAUGGCGGCAAAAAAGCUUUCAGCUAUUCGAAAAAGCGAUGGCGCGUAACAAGGUAAAACGGCUCUUCUGUUGAAAUAGGUAAAUAAACCUAUUAGCAUGUACAAAGAUGUCGGAAUCUGACAGAGCAAAAGCAAGAGAGAAUGAACCGAAUCUGGAAACAAUAUUUUUAUCUGAGCAUUUUCCUCUAGCUUUUUAUUACAUGUAUACGUAACAUAAUGAAAUUGGUUAAAAAUUUUGAUAUGUACCUAUAAUUUAUGUUUAAAAUAAUUUGACAAGCGGUUUAGUCCAAUAGAAACUGCACAGUAGUAUAAUACUUGCGUGGAUUUUUAGGCUUGUAUGACUUGUCUAUAUAUGCUUAUAUAUAUAUGUGACGUGGCGACGACUUUCUUUUUUCUCACUCAUUCGUCGCAAUCAUGUUACUGGAUUGAGGUAAAUUUUUCCAUAUAGAAACAUUUUUUGUCUUUGUUGUCACAUUGUUGACAUUCUACAAACUCAUACGAUGGGGUUUUAAAAUAAUUGCAUGUGUACGAGUACAUUACAAAAAUAACGUCGAUUAGUCGUAAAGUAUCAAGUUUGUAUAUUAUAAUUGUAAUUUAUUUCUAUCAGUAUUUCUUUUAUAACGCUCUUUUUAUGUACCUAGAGCUGAAGUCUAAUGAUGCUCUGUUACAGAAUUUGUAAUAACUUUAUUGUGUACAUUAAAAAUGAAGAGAUUUUAUUCUAAUAAAAAGGAAUCAUGAUUAAUAUGUAUUUUAUACCGAAGUAGAUGAAUUAAUAUCGAUAUUAAUAUUAGACUAGAAAUGAUGCUUUUUGAAGAUAAAAAAAUUAAUAAAAUUAUAUGUUAAUUUAGGUACUUAUUUUAAUGUUCCCGUGAAAAUAAGAGAAAUUGUUGUUUUUAUGUAAUUAUUUGAAUCUACAAAAAUAUUUUAAUAUUCAUAAAAGAGUGAGAAAUUUAAAGAAGUAAACAUUAAUUGUAUAUUGUAUAUAAGAAUGUCAUGGAAGCAUACCUGGAAAUUAAAACUGUUUCUAAUAUCUAGUUCUAGGCGUGGUUUUUCAUAAUAAAAAAUCAAAUUUAAGUUGUAAUUGUACUCUUAACAUAUGAAAUAUAAUUUAUUUAUAAAACAACU